AUUCCCUUUAUCUUCCAGUCUUCAAGAUAAUGAAUUAAUUCUUCAUCAUUCUCCAGAGGUGACCAAUUAGACUUUUUUUUUUACUAUCCUUAUGAACUCAUGAAUUUAACCACAUUUGAUUUCUCAAUCCAUAGUAAUUAUCAUUUUUGAAACCACACAUAGCUCAUUUGGGGCCAUUUCAUACCUCUUUAAUCCGACUCUUAAGUCCUAUUGAUAUGACCUUAGUAUUCACUGAUAGCUUCCUUGCUAUCUGAACAAGAUGUUUUAGAUUUAUUUUAUACAUUGCCUAUGGUAGAUCUGAGAUAUCUCUGAGAAUCUCUCUUUUUAGAGGGAAAUGUAUUUAGAGACCGCAAUCUGGGUACUAAGGAUGUUCAUUGCUACUGAGUUCAUCCUUGUUCUCAAAUUUUUUUCAGAGGAUAAAGUGGGGGAAAUACAUACACUCCAAAAUAUUUAAGCAUAAACAGAUAUUAAUAUAAACAUCCAUGUAUAUGUCAUCAGGAAUUCUAUUUUUAUAUCCAAUUCAAAUUCAGGACAAUGGUGUUUUGUUGUUUUGUUUUUGCCUAACAUCUUCUGUCUGCAUCUCUUUUGCCCAUCACAUUAAGAAUAAGAAGUUCUGGGAUUUAUAACCACACCAGGAAUAUAACUAGAAUAUUACAUAAUUACUCAAUUACACAUUCUACAAUCCACAUAUAAGUAUUUCAGGAGAACAAUACCAGCUUGCCCACUACAACAGUACUGCCAACAACAUGCUUAAUAAAGAGUUUAAGAUUUUGUUUUGACUUUUUUUUUCAACCUUAAAUUAUAUUCGAAUAGGCAGAGAAAUUACUCUGUUUAAUGUCGCUUGGAACAGUUCCUUUCAAUGUGAUUAUGCCAUCAAUUAGAUACACAUUUAUUUUUAUAUUAUUUUCUGUUUUUAAAGAUUUAAAAAAUUUUAAUUUUAGAAGGGCCAAUUUAACCCUUACAAUUUUUCAGGGAAGGGGUAAGGUGAAGAAAGAAAUCAGGAGUGAAGAGAAUCUAGGUUCAGCAAAGUCUCAUAAAUUAUCCAAGUCAAAAAGAGAACAGAAGACAGGGUCGUCAGCUAAGCAAACUGAGGACAACCACCAAGAAGAGGAGAGACCAUCCUUCCAUCAACAGAGGCUAGCAAUAGAGGAUGACACUGGGAUCAGAUGCUCUUUUCCAAAUAUGAGGAGGAGGGCAUGUAUCACUCUGGCAACAAGAGAAAGAGAAAGGGUAUUUACUUACAAGGUCAGUUCCUGCUCUUUAUAAAAAGGGUUGAAGUAUUUGUUUGGAAGCCAGGUGUUAUUCUGCAACUCAUGAAAGCUGGUAGCUAUGGUCCUCUCAAGGUAUGACUGUUAAUAACAGCUACAGAUACCACUUCAGUUCUGCUGCCAGCUUUACAGUUAAGGGGCCGUUAAAUGCACAUAAUUAUUCCGGUAAAACCCCAUGGAUUAUCCCUGCCUUAUGGGAAAGUGAUAUCUUCGCAGUUUUGUUAAGAUGUCCAUGCCCAUCAAAGGAGACAAGAUGACAUCUGUUAAAUUUAGUGCUUAAAAUAUCUGACUUUUUCAGCAUCCAGUGCAAUACAGUUGGCAUGGUGCCUUUCCCCAAAAUAGGCUUAUUAAAAGUGGGGCGCCUGGGUGGCUCAGUGGUUGAGCAUCUGCCUUCAGCUCAGGGUGUGAUCCCGGGGUUCUGGGAUUGAAUCCCGCGUUCUGGGAUUGAAUCCCGCAUCAGGCUUCCCAUAGGGAGCCUGCUUCUCCCUCUGCCCAUGUCUCUGCCUUUCUCUGUGUCUUUCAUGAAUAAAUAAGUAAAAUCUAAAAAACA
rnacentral:lncRNA from 12 species